CCACCUGGGGGCUGGGCAGGCAGCCUGUUUGAUCUGCUCCCAGACCAAGACGCCCGGUAUCCCGGGGAGAAAUCAGAGCGGGAAGUUCCUUGUGUUAAGUUAAUUCUAAGUAGUCAAAGACCACUUAACAAGUCUGCAUCCUCAGCCCUUAGUCACAUUCCUAAAGAAUCCUUAAAAGGGGGAGCCCCCGGCCUUUCGGCGAGUUCCUCUCUCUGGGGUCUCCCGCCCUUGCUAGGUGCGUACCCUUUUAACCUUUUCCAACCUUUCAGAGGGCGCUUCUCUCUCUGAGGUCACCCGCACUUUCCAAGUGUGUAACCUUUUAACUUUAAACUAUCUUUUCAACCUUUCAGGGGCGCCUCUUCUCUAGCACAGCCCACAGUCCCCUUUCUCCAAAUGUGCUCCUCUUGCCUUGAAUAAACUUCUCACUUAAACGCACUGUCUCUGCGCCUUUCCAGUACUAAGUGUUUUAUUACCUUGCUUCGUCAUUCUAAUCCUCCGAAUUCUGGCUUUACCCUUCACUCUGUCCUAUCUCAGGCAAGUAAGGAGGGGCUGCUGAGAGCUCCGACCUGGGCUUGCAAAUUAUCAUCACCUGGGUGGCCGGGAACUGCAGUUUACAGUCAUGCUCUUUAAUAACCUGCCUGAAAGUCUCCCUUCUUUACCUAUAGGAAGUUCGCAGAACAUAAUCUCACUCCACCCAGUGCUCUGCGGCUCCCCCUAAGCCUGGGGUGGUAGGGACUCAGUUCCCACGCUGUGCAGAUCCAAGCAGAUGCUGGAUGCCAGGUGACCCUGGUUUAAGGAGUUAGCAGAGGUCAUGCCCCAUGCUGACUCAUGAACUUCCUUUAGUAUUCUAUUCUUUCAGUCCCUAACACUCUUACUUUAAUGAAUUCCUUCCUCACUUUGUCCUCUGAUUUCCCUGCACUGCGGAAUCAAACUCUUCCUAACAGUAUCAUCAAUAUUCUCACCAUAUGGACCUCCAGCCUCUGACAUCUGCCCCAUGUUCUUCAUGAUCUGGAGGCAACGUCUUCUUGCCCAGGUACUGAUGCCCUAGAACAGCCGCAGGGACAGGAACACCAUCGGCGCUCAGAGACACGGGUUCCCUCACUAGACACUCGGGGGAGGUCUCCGGUGAGGCUUCUCUGGAUGCUGCAGCUGCACGGCCUCUACCCCAGUUGCCGGAUGGGUGUUCUGGGAGCUCCGGGAGCAUCUGCUGCACAGCCGUGCUGCAACUCACAUAUAGGGCCCCACAUUCCCUUCUCUGCAAACAGCCCAUGCCACUCUUUCCCCUUCCAGGCACCUUCUAAAACUACCAUUUCAGUACUUCUACAAAGUAUGCUGCCAAACAAACAAAAAGAAAAGGUUACAAUCCUGGGCUGCUGCAAAGUCUCCCCUGAGCCAGAUGGGAACUGAGUGUCCUAAAAACACUGAGGAGAGAACCAUUCCCAGGUCAGACACACUGGGAUUCAUGAUCUAAUGGGCCCACAGCAGCCCCAACGCAGGAGUUCCUGGGCUGCAGGAGACCCAGGGCAUCAGGCCACUGCAGGUUCUAUGAAACCUGCCUAGGCCUGGUGGUCCCUGAGCAUCCAGUGUGAAAAUCAACCCCAUCUUUCCUCAUCCAGGAACAGGACCCAGUAAAGGAAGCAAAUCUGGCAGGAAGAGUUGGGAGUGAGCAAACCGGAGAUCGCCACACACGUGUCCCUCAGUGACACAUGACCUCAGAAUGUCAGCUGCUUAGUGGGAACUGGCCACUGUAAGGUUGGAGGCACUGGAGGGAGGGGUGAGCACGUCAGACACUGAUGACGUGCCAAAGUCCCCGGCUGCUGCCCCCUCCCAACCUGAAAAAUGUGCCUUAGGCUAGCCAAUCCUCCCGCUGCUGUAAAUCUAAGCUCUGCCUCCCCCUACCUUCUUUAAAAACUCACUGCCUGCCCUGCUGCGUGUGACUUCCCUGGCCUGUCAUAGCCAGACCACGGAGCAUCACCCAGGAUUGUGCUCAAAUAAACUGCCUGGCCCUUUGUUGCCUCUCAUCACCUGCUUAUUUCGGCUAGAAUUUAUCUUACAUUUCGGGCCAAAAACCGGGAAGGAGUGUGAGCACGGGGCCCCGAACGGCCAUCACGGCCCCACCCCCUCCUUCCCUGACCAGGGACCUCAGCCUGCUCUCCUCUGCGUGGACUAUUUUCCGUCACCGUUUUAUUACUCCUAAACUAGCAAAGAACUAGAUUUCACCAGAACAAGUAUUAGUUACAUAAGAAGUAAGUAAAAGCAGAAGAGGGACCCCAAAUUCCACUCCGUGACCUGGUAACCAUGACCUUUAAAGUCUUUAAUACCCAUGAUGAAGAACAUGAGAGGAGGACAGUGUCUCAAACCCAACCCUUCACGGUGGCCCUGUGGCUGGCAGGACAGGGGUCUCAUCACACCAAAGACUGGUCUGGAGCUUGUGAGCCUCCAGGAUGCUGCUUCCGGUGUGGCCAAGAAGACCACUGGGCAGAGAUGCCCCAGCCUGACCAAAAAGCUGACUAAACCCUGCCCAGUUGGCAGUAAGAGAAGUCAUUGGAAAGUAGAGUGCCCGGUUGGGGAAGGUCAUCCCCCCACGACAGAGUCUCGUGGGAAGCUGUCCCCCCUGAGGGACUCCCCUCCAGACCUGCUGGGCCUACACGAAAAAUGAAGAUGCCUAGACUCAAACACCCCUAUCACCCUUGCCAAGCCCAGGGCCACGCUGUGAGUAGCGGGUAAGUCCAUCUCCUUUUUGGUGGACACGGAGGCUGCCUACUCUGUUUUACCUUCCUUUCAUGGGCGUUUACAUCCUUCCCAGGUCUCGGUCGUGGGUGUCACGGGAACCCCCUCUAAGCCUCUAUAGACAAGUCCGGUAGCCUACACAUUUGAGAGCCAUCUUCUUACCCACUCAUUUCUAGUCAUCCUGUCCUGUCCUUUCCCUUUGUUAGGGAGAGAUCUCCUCUCCAAGCUUGGUGCCUCUAUCUCCCUGCCUCUUAGUCAUCCCCAACCGAGCUCACUCAUCAUCUUAGCCAAUAUAAGUUGUAGCCCUGAGCCCUCCACCAACACUCCUGUACAGUUGACCAGUGAUAACCCGAUAGUCUGAGACACCUCUACUCCUGUAGUGUUGAGCCAUCAUGCUCCAGUCCUCAUCUGCCUCAAAGACCCAUCCUCCUCUCCUUCUAGACCCCAAUUUCCUAUUUUCCAAGCCCAUCUCAAGGGCAUCCUACCUAUCAUUAACCAUCUUCUUUCUCAAAGGCUUCUGGUACCAACUAAUUCUCCCUGUAAAACUCCAGUUCUUCCAGUCAAGAAGCCAUUGGGGGCCUACCAGCUUGUUCAAGACCUGCAGAUAAUCAGUGAAGCUGCAGUCCCUCCUCACCUGGUCGUCCCUAACCCUUAUACUCUCUUAUCUCAAGUCCCCCAAACACCUCUCCUACCUACAUUACUUCUCACUCCUAAGAAAGAUACCCCCUUGUUCCGCCCAAUGCUCGUCUUUCCAUUCUUUCGUCCAGGCUGCCUGCUAUGAACAAACCUCAGUCUGUCUCUCGUCCAGACUACAGUACUAGAUGGGGCAAAGCCUGAGUGAUCAUGCUAGACAUAUCUGUCCUGAGAGAUGAAGACAACAUAUCUGCUAGAACCUCUGGCCACCGAUAGAGAGGUCAGAUAGUAGAAGUGCACAAAACCAUGUGGGUACAUCAGUACUCACCCCUUCCCUCCAAGCCUCCUCUGGCCUCCCACCAGCCUCAACCCCACCCACACCACCCCUCCUCAGCCAGAAGUAGCCAGAUAGAGUCAGCACCCUUUAUAACCAAAAGGCUGGAAUGUGAAGUUGGAGGCACCAGUGGGAGGGGUGAGUACAUUGGACAUUGAUGACGUGCCGAAGUCCCCAGCUGCUGCCCCCUCCCAACCUGAAAAAUGUGCCUCAGGCUAGCCAAUCCUCUUGCUGCUGCAAAUCUAAGCUCUGCCUCCCCCUACCUUCUUUAAAAAACUCACUGUCUGCCCUGCUGAGUGUGACUUCCCCGGCCUGUGACUUGCCAUACCGGGGAACAUCGCCCGGGAUUGUGCUCAAAUAAACUGCCUGGCCCUU